GGGCAUAUGGUGUAGUUGGUUAUCAUGCUCGCUUUGCAAUCGCCUUUCGAAGGUGAUGAACAUGCGAGAGGUGUUGGGUUCAAUUCCCAAUGUGUCCA